rnacentral:rRNA from 1 species
UACGGGAGGCAGCAGUGGGGAAUAUUGCACAAUGGGCGCAAGCCUGAUGCAGCCAUGCCGCGUGUAUGAAGAAGGCCUUCGGGUUGUAAAGUACUUUCAGUCGUGAGGAAGGUGUUAAGGUUAAUAACCUUAGCAAUUGACGUUAGCGACAGAAGAAGCACCGGCUAACUCCGUGCCAGCAGCCGCGGUAAUACGGAGGGUGCGAGCGUUAAUCGGAAUUACUGGGCGUAAAGGGCACGCAGGCGGUUAAUUAAGUUGGAUGUGAAAUCCCCGGGCUUAACCUGGGAAUGGCAUUCAAGACUGGUUAGCUAGAGUCUUGUAGAGGGGGUAGAAUUCCAUGUGUAGCGGUGAAAUGCGUAGAGAUGUGGAGGAAUACCGGUGGCGAAGGCGGCCCCUGGACAAAGACUGACGCUCAUGUGCGAAAGCAUGGGGAGCAAACGAGGAUUAGAUACC